AUGUAGCAAAAUUCCAAUACGUUUUGAACUGUCCCUAACCUCAAAUCUUUCAGUGUUUUUCAGUGUACCUGGUGGGUGCUAUGGAGAGUCCUAAGAGGAGAAUGGCAACUGUCUCAGGACCAAGGUGGCCUUCAGGACCAAGGCUGUAAUCUACUACACGGAAAUCCUGAGGAACAGCGAUGUCCAGCUCCAGCAGACUGCCUGUCUGGCCCUCAAGUGUCUCAAAGCGAUGGAGAGCGUGGAGCAGGAGGCUGAGUUGUGGUGGUCAUCUGACGAGGACCUGCGCAGUGCUGUUAGAGAGACCGUGCUAUCAUAUGGUAAUCAU